UUUAAUUUUAGAUCCAUGUGCGCAAGCAAAUGCAUCUUCAUUCUUUGAACCAUAUGCAAGAUUUGAAAAUUGCCAAUAUGAUUCAAAAUACGCACCGUGUGACUGUUACAUAAUUCCCCAGUGGUACAGGGUGGAUGACGUCAUGUUGACGCAAAGUCCGGAGCUUCUCAGUUGCGGCGCUUUGUAUCCUCUUUGGCUAAAAGGAUCCUUGCCGACGACUAGUGACGGUAUUGUUGAAAGAAAAGUUUGCAAGGUCGGAUUUUCAUCUUGUUGUUCAAAAGAGUAUGAUGUUUAGAUCAAACACUGCGGAUCCUUCCAUGCUUAUUGUUUAGGGGCCCUCGAUUCCUGUUCCGAAAGAUAUUGUUUUGGGAAACAAGGUUUAUGUGAAUAUCCAACUGCUAGUACGACAUCAACCACAACAACAUCAAAACCAUCUACGGUUAGCCCACCAACGACAUGCUCUGAGGAUCCUUGCAUAGAAGGAAACCUUCAAACAUUGACACAGGAUAGACUCCGCUCCAUGAAUUGUGAAUUUAAACAAGGGCAGGGGUACUGUGAUGAAUACCUAAAAGCUGGGUGGUAUAAAUCUAGUUCUCCCAUGCUAAAUCGGUGCCCAAAGGUCUUAAGCUGUGCUUCAAUAUACUCAGUAUGGAU